ensembl:lncRNA
AUUGCUGUUUCCCUAGAUUACUGAGGGGUCUUUCUCUGACUCCUUGACUUGUGUUUUGAGCCCUUUGACUGUUUUUGGAUUUUGCCCUUUUGGAUUUGCCCUUCUGCUCUGAUUGCCUAUGUUUUUGUCUAUUCUGGUUUUUGACUCUUGCUUAGGUUUUGGAUUUGCCCUGAGACCGUGUUUUGUUCUAACACCUUUCUUGUUAAGCAGACUUUUGUUUAUAAGAUCUGCGAGUGUCUUCUUGUGCUUGUGCACCGUUACAGAAUACCUUGCCACAACCAAGAUGGCAGAUCUGAGAGAACUCCACAGUACUGUCAACAACCAAGGUCCAUUAUUAGCACAACAUAAUCAGCUUUCUGAGUCGCUGUCUGGGUCUGUGGGGAAGCUUACUCAUCAGCAGUUAGAACAACAAAACUUCUGCAUAUUGCCUCUGACAACCAAUCUCCUGUCCUUCCAGUUAAGUCAGUUGGCUCAUAAACCCUUGACUUACUCAACUCCUGUAGGAAACCGCACAGUACCUGAACCAGCUCCCAACCCUGAGGACCAUUUUUUCGGUGAGCAAACCAGAUAAAUAUGACGGGAGUCCUAAUUUGUUACAGUGCUUGUUGUAUUUUUCAGAUGCUCCAGUUAGUCCUGACAACAGACGUGUUGCAUUUCUGAUUUCCAGACUUACUGGUAAAGCUUUAGAUUGGGCCACAGCAGUUGGAACAGAGCACAUAUGCAGAUGUUUUACAUAGCUUUAGGGCUGUUUUUGAUCACCAUCAUGAGCGACGAUUCCAAGGGGAACUAUUGCCAGAGUUCACGAUCUGUAGCGGAUUAUUCUUUGGAAUUUAGGACCUUAGCAGCUGGAAGUGGCUGGAAUGAGCCUGUGCUUAUUAUGACUUUCUGUAAUGGACUUGAUUCUGAGAUUUUGACAGAACUUGCCUGUACGGAUGAUGGACUGUCAUUGGAUGACCUCAUUGCUCUCGCUAUCCCAUUGGACCAGUUAAAGCAGAGUUCUGAACUCAGGGUGCAUCGUCUCGCCGCACAUCAUACCACACAACGGACCAGUCCAUCACCCAAACCUGUGAAACCUGAUGUCCCUGUUGCUGAGCCUAUGCAAGUGGACACCUCCUGUCUGUCCAAGGAGGAGAGCUUACGCAGGCUAUAUGGGGGUCUGUGCUUAUACUGUGGAGAAGCGGGUCAUGUUCUACAUGAUCGUCACAUCUGUUCAAACAGACCUCAGCCUAAAUCGACUUGGGCCCAAGGCAGUUCCAUCCAAGCUGGUCUGCUGAACCAGUUGGAGAUUGAGACAGAACCACUGUCAACACCGUUACGUCUGUCAGCCAUGGACGGGGCACCUAUUAAACUAGGGAGCGUGACUCUCAAAACAUGACCUGUUAAAAUGAAUGUUAGUGCUCUACGUGCUGAGGACAUUUUUUUUCUGUGUGCUUGAAAGCACUGACUAUGCUGUGAGUUUAGGUUUCUCCUGGCUGAAAAUGCAUGAUCCCAAUAUCUCCUGGUCCCACAGAAAUCUUUUCCUGGUCCUCUUAUUACAUAGAACAGUUUGCAAGUCCCUCCCAUUAGUGCUAAUUCCAUGUCUGUGGAGAGUCCUGCUGUGAACACUAAGAUUGACAUUCCCUUCAAAUAUACUGAUCUUGCUGACGUCUUUGUCAAAGUAAAUGCCAUGAAAUUGCCACCUCACAGAGACUGUGAUUGUUCUAUUGAACUCCUUGGUAAUCAAUUACCUCCCAAAUCUCGUGUUUUAUCCUCUCACCCAGGCUGAGGAAGUCGCCAGGGAAGAGUAUGUGCAGGAAGCCCUAGACCAAGGGUUUAUUCGUCCCUCCACAUCCCCAGUAGCUGCAGG